rnacentral:rRNA from 1 species
UGGGGAAUUUUGGACAAUGGGGGAAACCCUGAUCCAGCCAUCCCGCGUGUGCGAUGAAGGCCUUCGGGUUGUAAAGCACUUUUGGCAGGAAAGAAACGUCGCGGGUUAAUACCCCGCGAAACUGACGGUACCUGCAGAAUAAGCACCGGCUAACUACGUGCCAGCAGCCGCGGUAAUACGUAGGGUGCAAGCGUUAAUCGGAAUUACUGGGCGUAAAGCGUGCGCAGGCGGUUCGGAAAGAAAGAUGUGGAAUCCCAGAGCUUAACUUUGGGAACUGCAUUUUUAACUACCGGGCUAGAGUGUGUCAGAGGGAGGUGGAAUUCCGCGUGUAGCAGUGAAAUGCGUAGAUAUGCGGAGGAACACCGAUGGCGAAGGCAGCCUCCUGGGAUAACACUGACGCUCAUGCACGAAAGCGUGGGGAGCAAACAGGAUUAGAUACCCUGGUAGUCCACGCCCUAAACGAUGUCAACUAGCUGUUGGGGCCUUCGGGCCUUGGUAGCGCAGCUAACGCGUGAAGUUGACCGCCUGGGGAGUACGGUCGCAAGAUUAAAACUCAAAGGAAUUGAC